CGCUUGGCAUCCUGUCCAUCCAUGCUUUCUUUUUUUUUUUUGCGUUGACCUUUCUUUGUGGAAUCCUUUUGUCUCAGCUGAGGCUGAAGGGGUUUGCAUAAGGCCGGCUGCUGAUAAGCAUCGUACCGGGUUACAUAAAGGCACAACCUGCCGCACUUGCGUAACGAGGCCAAGCAGCUGUCGGCGAAAUUUAAACCGUGUCAGCAUCAACACCGAGGCUGGACGGGGAUCCGGGGUCAACCCAAACAAGCCCGACCGAUGGCAUCGCCUAAAGUUUUAUUGUCUGUGGGCAUCGGCUGAUGAGGAGGAGCCUCGCGUUAUUACCAUGAGACGGAGUCAGCAAAGCAGCUUUUGUUCAGAGGAACAGCUUAUUCAAGCGAAGGAAGCCUGAGAACAAGAUUUGGUUCACAAGAAUUUCUUUUUUCCAAGCCAAAGCCGACCGGACUGGCAGGAGGGCGAGAACCCCGCUUCACUAAACCCAGUGACGUCUUAAAGGGAUGCUUUUAGAUUUAUAAAGGGAUUGUGGGAUUGUGUUGAGCUGAUGUCUCUGAGCGUAUCGUUUUGUCAUGUUUUCUUUUUUUUUAAGCAACAUCUAGAUGCUUCAACUUAUCUCCAGCAGCAGUAGCUUAAAUGUCGGAUUUCUAGAGAAAGGAGGACAUAAAUGAAAUUGGAAAAGUUUAACUACAGGUCAGCAUUUCCCUCCAGUAAAAUCUUAACUGUAUUAAAACCAUUAAUGAAGAGGGAAAAUGUUGAGAAAACGUGUUUUGCUUUAUUUUACAGAUCCUUUCUGCUUUCAUUCUCUUGAUUCUUAAAUACCUUCUAUUGAGUUUUAUUAUACUAUAGGGAAUGAUAAAGGCCUGUCACUAGCUCAUUGCAAAUACUCUUGAAAUAUUUUACUUGGACAUGAAAGUAAUCCGGAAACUGACAGAAAAAUCAGAAAAAUUGAGCUAAACUGUGGAAUUUAGACGUGAUGAGGUGAGGUGGAGCUUGUCAUUUUUGAAGCCGUCCUCUGAUUUUGGUAAGCAUUCCUCUGUAUGAAGGCAGAAAUGUCUGACAUUGCCCAAACAUAAACACAGGACUUCUUGUAAAUAAUUUUAUCUAGAAAAAAAAAAAAAACUUUA